rnacentral:rRNA from 1 species
UACGUAGGGUGCAAGCGUUAAUCGGAAUUACUGGGCGUAAAGCGUGCGCAGGCGGCUUUGCAAGACAGAUGUGAAAUCCCCGGGCUUAACCUGGGAACUGCAUUUGUGACUGCAUGGCUGGAGUGCGGCAGAGGGGGAUGGAAUUCCGCGUGUAGCAGUGAAAUGCGUAGAUAUGCGGAGGAACACCGAUGGCGAAGGCAAUCCCCUGGGCCUGCACUGACGCUGAGGCGCGAAGGCGUGGGGAGCGAACGGG